GGUAAAUUUUACAUAAUGUGUAUUUUGCCACAAUUUUUAAAAAAUAUGUUACUUUAGAUGAGACUUCCCAGAAGAGGUGGCAUUGAGCUGGGCCUGAAAGGGCAGAUGAAUUUCAACAUGUAAAGAAGAGGAAGAAGGAUAUUAAAGACAGAGGGAAGAACAUGAAAUGUCCACAGGCAGUGAAGUACCCAUAGGGCAUGAGUGCAACUUUGCAGUAACCAGUCAACUCCAUUGCUUUGGUCAAAUAUAAUACUGCCUUUGAUGGCAGUCAAUGAGGCUAAGGAUGCUGAAGGCCAUCUUUACAUUUUGUUCCACAUCUCUUCGAUAAUUGUCUUCUGGGAAGCUCAC
rnacentral:lncRNA from 1 species